AAUUAUUUUUAUUUUAAGAUAAAUUCCUGCUCAAUGAGUAAAUUAAAUAGCUGCAGUAAAUUAACUGUACUAAGGUAGCAUAAUAAGUUGCUUUAUAAUUAAAAGCUUGAAUGAAAGAAAUAAUGUGAAACAAGCUUUUUAAACUAAAGUAGUAAAAAUUAAUAUUUAAGUGAAAAAUCUUAAAUAAAAUCAAAAGACAAGAAGACCCUUUAGAACUUUACAAAUUAACUUAAUUUCAUUUGGUUAAUUUUGUUAGAUUGGGGAGAUUUUUAAAUAAAUAAAUCUUUAGAUAUAAAAAAAUGAUUUAAAUCAAAUUAAAUUAUCCAAAUAUGAAAUAAAACAAGUUACCUAAGGGAUAACAGCGCAAAAUUUUUGAGAAGUUCUCAUUUACAAAAUAAAUUGCGACCUCGAUGUUGGAUUAAGAACAACUUAUAAAGAAAAAUUUAUAAGAGUUGGUCUGUUCGCCCAAAUAAAUCUUACAUGAUCUGAGUUCAAACCGGA
rnacentral:rRNA from 1 species